rnacentral:rRNA from 1 species
GACGUAGGGCGCGAGCGUUUGUCCGGAUUUAUUGGGCGUAAAGAGCUCGUAGGCGGCUUGUUGCGUCGACUGUGAAAACCUGCGGCUCAACCGUGUGGUCUGCAGUCGAUACGGGCAGGCUGGAGUUCGGUAGGGGAGACUGGAAUUCCUGGUGUAGCGGUGAAAUGCGCAGAUAUCAGGAGGAACACCGGUGGCGAAGGCGGCAUCCUGGACCAAUAUUGACGCUGAGGAGCGAAAGCCAGGGGAGCGAACAGG